UACGGAGGGUGCAAACGUUAAUCGGAUUUAUUGGGCGUAAAGGGCGCGUAGGCGGGUUUAUAAGUCAGAUGUGAAAGCCCGGAGCUCAACUCCGGAAUAGCAUUUGAAACUAUUUACCUCGAGGGUAGGCGGAGAAAACGGAAUUCCACAAGUAGCGGUGAAAUGCGUAGAUAUGUGGAAGAACACCUGUGGUGAAGGCGGUUUUCUAGCUUAUACCUGACGCUGAGGCGCGAAAGCAAGGGGAGCAAACAGG
rnacentral:rRNA from 1 species